UGGAGCUGGAAUGCCUCUCCAAGUUUGAGAUUCUUUACCUGAGAUCAAGACAUCCUUCCUUACUCCAAGCAGAGAGAUACCUUCCUUGCAACACAUCCUCUGUAAGGACCAUUACUGCUGGCUCACCCUCCCAAACUGGAACUCAGUCCCCAGGCUCGGCUGGCCAGAUGUGGUCUCUGUGGUCACUCUGCCUCCAAAACAUGCGUGAUCUGCAGGCAGAGGUGGAGAUGUGGCAUCAGUGCUGGGUUCACCCUCUGAGCCACCAACGCCCUGCUCAGCCCUCGGGGAGCGGUCCCCAGCCCAACUUCAGCGAUGGGGGCUCCCUUCUCUCUCCUGCUCACAACUGAGGUGUCAUUUCCCCUGCUCACAUCCAUUCUGCAGCACUGGU